GCCUUGCGGCGUGCUUACACAUGCAAGUCGAACGGUGAAGCCAAGCUUGCUUGGUGGAUCAGUGGCGAACGGGUGAGUAACACGUGAGCAACCUGCCCUGGACUCUGGGAUAAGCGCUGGAAACGGCGUCUAAUACUGGAUAUGAGCUCUCAUCGCAUGGUGGGGGUUGGAAAGAUUUUUUGGUCUGGGAUGGGCUCGCGGCCUAUCAGCUUGUUGGUGAGGUAAUGGCUCACCAAGGCGUCGACGGGUAGCCGGCCUGAGAGGGUGACCGGCCACACUGGGACUGAGACACGGCCCAGACUCCUACGGGAGGCAGCAGUGGGGAAUAUUGCACAAUGGGCGAAAGCCUGAUGCAGCAACGCCGCGUGAGGGAUGACGGCCUUCGGGUUGUAAACCUCUUUUAGCAGGGAAGAAGCGAAAGUGACGGUACCUGCAGAAAAAGCGCCGGCUAACUACGUGCCAGCAGCCGCGGUAAUACGUAGGGCGCAAGCGUUAUCCGGAAUUAUUGGGCGUAAAGAGCUCGUAGGCGGUUUGUCGCGUCUGCUGUGAAAUCCCGAGGCUCAACCUCGGGCCUGCAGUGGGUACGGGCAGACUAGAGUGCGGUAGGGGAGAUUGGAAUUCCUGGUGUAGCGGUGGAAUGCGCAGAUAUCAGGAGGAACACCGAUGGCGAAGGCAGAUCUCUGGGCCGUAACUGACGCUGAGGAGCGAAAGGGUGGGGAGCAAACAGGCUUAGAUACCCUGGUAGUCCACCCCGUAAACGUUGGGAACUAGUUGUGGGGACCAUUCCACGGUUUCCGUGACGCAGCUAACGCAUUAAGUUCCCCGCCUGGGGAGUACGGCCGCAAGGCUAAAACUCAAAGGAAUUGACGGGGACCCGCACAAGCGGCGGAGCAUGCGGAUUAAUUCGAUGCAACGCGAAGAACCUUACCAAGGCUUGACAUACACCA
rnacentral:rRNA from 1 species